rnacentral:rRNA from 1 species
ACGGCUCAGUAACACGUGGACAACCUACCCUGAGGUCGGGGAUAAACCCGGGAAACUGGGUAUAAUACCCGAUAGAUCUAGAUUGCUGGAAUGCUUUUAGGUCUAAAGUUCCGACGCCUCAGGAUGGGCCUGCGGCCUAUCAGGGUAGUAGUGGGUGUAACGUACCUACUAGCCCACGACGGGUACGGGUUGUGAGAGCAAGAGCCCGGAGAUGGAUUCUGAGACACGAAUCCAGGCCCUACGUGGUGCAGCAGGCGCGAAACCUUUACAAUGCUGGCAACAGCGAUAAGGGGACCUCGAGUGCUACGAUACAAUCGUGGCUGUCUAGUUGCCUAAAAAGCAAUUGAUAGCAAGGGCCGGGCAAGACCGGUGCCAGCCGCCGCGGUAACACCGGCGGCUCGAGUGGUAACCGCUAUUAUUGGGUCUAAAGGGUCUGUAGCCGGCUUAGUUAGUCUCUUGAGAAAUCUGGCCGCUCAACGGUCAGGCGUUCAGGGGAUACUGCUAAAGCUCGAGACCGGGAGAGGUGAGAGGUACUUCAGGGGUAGGGGUGAAAUCUUGUAAUCCUUGAAGGACCACCAGUGGCGAAGGCGUCUCACCAGAACGGAUCUGACGGCAAGGGACGAAAGCUAGGGGCACGAACCGGAUUAGAUACCCGGGUAGUCCUAGCCGUAAACGAUACUCGCUAGGUGUCGGCCACGGUGCGACCGUGGUCGGUGCCGUAGGGAAGCCGUGAAGCGAGCCACCUGGGAAGUACGGCCGCAAGGCUGAAACUUAAAGGAAUUGGCGGGGGAGCAC